rnacentral:rRNA from 1 species
UUACUGCGAAGGGGGGACGGAGAAGGCUAUGUUGGCCGGGCGACGGUUGUCCCGGUUUAAGCGUGUAGGCUGGUUUUCCAGGCAAAUCCGGAAAAUCAAGGCUGAGGCGUGAUGACGAGGCACUACGGUGCUGAAGCAACAAAUGCCCUGCUUCCAGGAAAAGCCUCUAAGCAUCAGGUAACAUCAAAUCGUACCCCAAACCGACACAGGUGGUCAGGUAGAGAAUACCAAGGCGCUUGAGAGAACUCGGGUGAAGGAACUAGGCAAAAUGGUGCCGUAACUUCGGGAGAAGGCACGCUGAUAUGUAGGUGAAGUCCCUUGCGGAUGGAGCUGAAAUCAGUCGAAGAUACCAGCUGGCUGCAACUGUUUAUUAAAAACACAGCACUGUGCAAACACGAAAGUGGACGUAUACGGUGUGACGCCUGCCCGGUGCCGGAAGGUUAAUUGAUGGGGUCAGCGCAAGCGAAGCUCUUGAUCGAAGCCCCGGUAAACGGCGGCCGUAACUAUAACGGUCCUAAGGUAGCGAAAUUCCUUGUCGGGUAAGUUCCGACCUGCACGAAUGGCGUAAUGAUGGCCAGGCUGUCUCCACCCGAGACUCAGUGAAAUUGAACUCGCUGUGAAGAUGCAGUGUACCCGCGGCAAGACGGAAAGACCCCGUGAACCUUUACUAUAGCUUGACACUGAACAUUGAGCCUUGAUGUGUAGGAUAGGUGGGAGGCUUUGAAGUGUGGACGCCAGUCUGCAUGGAGCCGGCCUUGAAAUACCACCCUUUAAUGUUUGAUGUUCUAACGUGGACCCGUGAUCCGGGUUGCGGACAGUGUCUGGUGGGUAGUUUGACUGGGGCGGUCUCCUCCUAAAGAGUAACGGAGGAGCACGAAGGUUGGCUAAUCCUGGUCGGACAUCAGGAGGUUAGUGCAAUGGCAUAAGCCAGCUUGACUGCGAGCGUGACGGCGCGAGCAGGUGCGAAAGCAGGUCAUAGUGAUCCGGUGGUUCUGAAUGGAAGGGCCAUCGCUCAACGGAUAAAAGGUACUCCGGGGAUAACAGGCUGAUACCGCCCAAGAGUUCAUAUCGACGGCGGUGUUUGGCACCUCGAUGUCGGCUCAUCACAUCCUGGGGCUGAAGUAGGUCCCAAGGGUAUGGCUGUUCGCCAUUUAAAGUGGUACGCGAGCUGGGUUUAGAACGUCGUGAGACAGUUCGGUCCCUAUCUGCCGUGGGCGCUGGAGAACUGAGGGGGGCUGCUCCUAGUACGAGAGGACCGGAGUGGACGCAUCACUGGUGUUCGGGUUGUCAUGCCAAUGGCACUGCCCGGUAGCUAAAUGCGGAAGAGAUAAGUGCUGAAAGCAUCUAAGCACGAAACUUGCCCCGAGAUGAGUUCUCCCUGACCCUUUAAGGGUCCUGAAGGAACGUUGAAGACGACGACGUUGAUAGGCCGGGUGUGUAAGCGCAGCGAUGCGUUGAGCUAACCGGUACUAAUGAACCGUGAGGCUUAACCUU